GAUGAACGCUGGCGGCGUGCCUAAUACAUGCAAGUCGAGCGAACAGACGAGAGUGCUUGCACUCUCUGACGUUAGCGGCGGACGGGUGAGUAACACGUGGGUAACCUACCUAUAAGACUGGGAUAACUUCGGGAAACCGGAGCUAAUACCGGAUAAUAUUUAGCUUCGCAUGAAGCAAUAGUGAAAGACGGUUCUGCUGUCACUUAUAGAUGGACCCGCGGUGUAUUAGCUGGUUGGUGAGGUAACGGCUCACCAAGGCAACGAUACAUAGCCGACCUGAGAGGGUGAUCGGCCACACUGGGACUGGGACACGGCCCAGACUCCUACGGGAGGCAGCAGUAGGGAAUCUUCCGCAACGGACGAAAGUCUGACGGAGCAAUGCCGCGUGAGUGAAGAAGGUUUUCGGAUCGUAAAACUCUGUUGUAAGGGAAGAACAAGUACGUUAGUAACUGAACGUACCUUGACGGUACCUUACCAGAAAGCCACGGCUAACUACGUG
rnacentral:rRNA from 1 species